rnacentral:rRNA from 1 species
AACGAACGCUGGCGGCAGGCCUAACACAUGCAAGUCGAGCGAGAUCUUCGGGUCUAGCGGCGGACGGGUGAGUAACGCGUGGGAAUAUGCCUCUUGGUACGGAAUAGCCUCGGGAAACUGGGAGUAAUACCGUAUGUGCCCUUUGGGGGAAAGAUUUAUCGCCAAGAGAUUAGCCCGCGUUGGAUUAGGUAGUUGGUGGGGUAAUGGCCUACCAAGCCGACGAUCCAUAGCUGGUUUGAGAGGAUGAUCAGCCACACUGGGACUGAGACACGGCCCAGACUCCUACGGGAGGCAGCAGUGGGGAAUCUUAGACAAUGGGGGCAACCCUGAGCUAGCCAUGCCGCGUGAGUGAUGAAGGCCUUAGGGUUGUAAAGCUCUUUCAGCUGGGAAGAUAAUGACGGUACCAGCAGAAGAAGCCCCGGCUAACUCCGUG